rnacentral:rRNA from 1 species
AAAUCUGCCAAGGCGCUUGAGAGAACUCGGGUUAAGGAACUCUGCAAAUUGAUACCGUAACUUCGGAAGAAGGUAUGCCUUCGACGGUGUAGGGAUUUACUCCCGAAGCUGUUGAAGGUCGCAGGUAAUCGGUGGCUGCGACUGUUUAUCAAAAACACAGGACUCUGCGAACACGCAAGUGGAAGUAUAGGGUCUGACGCCUGCCCGGUGCCGGAAGGUUAAUUGAUGGGGUUAGCCGCAAGGCGAAGCUCUUGAUCGAAGCCCCGGUAAACGGCGGCCGUAACAAUAACGGUCCUAAGGUAGCGAAAUUCCUUGUCGGGUAAGUUCCGACCUGCACGAAUGGCGUAACGCUGGCCACACUGUCUCGACCCGAGACUCAGUGAAGUUGAAAUCGCUGUGAAGAUGCGGCGUUCCCGCGGCAAGACGGAAAGACCCCGUGAACCUUCACUACAGCUUUACACUGAACUUUGAACCUUUCUGUGUAGGAUAGGUGGGAGGCUAUGAAACUUGGGCGCUAGCUCGAGUGGAGCCAACCUUGAAAUACCACCCUGGGAUGUUUGAAGUUCUAACCUUGGUCCGUAAUCCGGAUUGGGGACAGUGUAUGGUGGGUAGUUUGACUGGGGCGGUCUCCUCCCAAAGAGUAACGGAGGAGUGCAAUGGUACGCUCAGCGCGGUCGGUCAUCGCGCUCUAGAGUGCAAAGGCAUAAGCGUGCUUAACUGUGAGACAGACACGUCGAACAGAUACGAAAGUAGGUCUUAGUGAUCCGGUGGUUCUGUAUGGAAGGGCCAUCGCUCAACGGAUAAAAGGUACUCCGGGGAUAACAGGCUUAUUCCUCCCAAGAGUCCACAUCGACGGAGGAGUUUGGCACCUCGAUGUCGGCUCAUCACAUCCUGGGGCUGUAGCAGGUCCCAAGGGUAUGGCUGUUCGCCAUUUAAAGUGGUACGCGAGCUGGGUUCAGAACGUCGUGAGACAGUUCGGUCCCUAUCUGCCGUGGGCGUUGGAAACUUGAGGGUGAGCUGUCCUUAGUACGAGAGGACCGGGAUGGACGUAUCUCUGGUGUUCCGGUUGUCACGCCAGUGGCACUGCCGGGUAGCUAUAUACGGACGGGAUAAGCGCUGAAAGCAUCUAAGCGCGAAGCCCCCCCCAAGAUUAGGUUUCCCUGGGAACUCGAUUCCCCUAAAGGGCCGUCGGAGACUACGACGUUGAUAGGCUGGGUGUGUAAGUGCCGCAAUGCAUUGAGCUAACCAGUACUAAUUGCCCGUGAGGCUUGACCGA